GGGCAAUCAGGAAGAUGUUCAGUUGAGAUUCCCAAAGGCCUCAAUGAAAUCAAGCCUACCUGAAAAUUAUAUUGAAUCUGAGAGGCAGAUUAAAGAACUCAAGUGGAAAAAGGAAAAGAUGGUUGAAGAUAUAAGGAGAGAACAAUCAUUACUGGACAAUACUAAGCUCAAUUUUGACAGGAAAAAGGCAGAGUUUCUAAAGUUCCUGACUGAAAGCUCAUCAUAUGCAGCUCAG
rnacentral:misc_RNA from 1 species